UUGGUCAAGUGGUCAAGACGUCGCCCUCUCACGGCGGAAUCAGGGGUUCGACUCCCCUAGGAGAUACCA
rnacentral:tRNA from 1 species